GCGGGCAUAGCUUAAUGGUAAAGUCCUAGCCUUCCAAGCUAGUCAUGCGGGUUCGAUUCCCGCUGCCCGCU
rnacentral:tRNA from 1 species